rnacentral:rRNA from 1 species
UACGGAGGGGGUUAGCGUUGUUCGGAAUUACUGGGCGUAAAGCGCGCGUAGGCGGACUGGAAAGUUGGGGGUGAAAUCCCGGGGCUCAACCCCGGGACGGCCUCCAAAACUAUCAGUCUAGAGUUCGAGAGAGGUGAGUGGAAUUCCGAGUGUAGAGGUGAAAUUCGUAGAUAUUCGGAGGAACACCAGUGGCGAAGGCGGCUCACUGGCUCGAUACUGACGCUGAGGUGCGAAAGCGUGGGGAGCAAACAGG